rnacentral:rRNA from 1 species
CCUACGGGAGGCAGCAGUGGGGAAUUUUGGACAAUGGGGGCAACCCUGAUCCAGCCAUUCCGCGUGAGUGAAGAAGGCCUUCGGGUUGUAAAGCUCUUUCGCAAGGGAAGAAAACUUAUGAUCGAAUAAAUCAUGAGGUUGACGGUACCUUGAUAAGAAGCACCGGCUAACUACGUGCCAGCAGCCGCGGUAAUACGUAGGGUGCGAGCGUUAAUCGGAAUUACUGGGCGUAAAGCGUGCGCAGGCGGUUUUGUAAGUCGGAUGUGAAAUCCCCGGGCUCAACCUGGGAACUGCGUUCGAAACUGCAAGGCUAGAGUGUGUCAGAGGGGGGUAGAAUUCCACGUGUAGCAGUGAAAUGCGUAGAGAUGUGGAGGAAUACCAAUGGCGAAGGCAGCCCCCUGGGAUAACACUGACGCUCAUGCACGAAAGCGUGGGGAGCAAACAGGAUUAGAUACCCUGGUAGUCCACGCCCUAAACGAUGUCAACUAGUUGUUGGUAGAGUAAAAUCUAUGAGUAACGUAGCUAACGCGUGAAGUUGACCGCCUGGGGAGUACGGUCGCAAGAUUAAAACUUCAAAGGAAUUGACGGCUUGAGAGNGCGAGACGACGACGAGGAGGAGG